CAGCCGCCGCGGUAAUACGUAGGGUGCGAGCGUUAAUCGGAAUUACUGGGCGUAAAGCGUGCGCAGGCGGUUUUGUAAGACAGGCGUGAAAUCCCCGGGCUCAACCUGGGAAUGGCGCUUGUGACUGCAAAGCUAGAGUGCGGCAGAGGGGGAUGGAAUUCCGCGUGUAGCAGUGAAAUGCGUAGAUAUGCGGAGGAACACCGAUGGCGAAGGCAAUCCCCUGGGCCUGCACUGACGCUCAUGCACGAAAGCGUGGGGAGCAAACAGGAUUAGAUACCCCCGUAGUCCCUGUCUCUUAUAA
rnacentral:rRNA from 1 species